rnacentral:rRNA from 1 species
CACGUAGGGCGCAAGCGUUGUCCGGAAUUAUUGGGCGUAAAGAGCUCGUAGGCGGACUGUUGCGUCCGCUGUGAAAAGCUGGGGCUUAACCCUGGCCUUGCAGUGGAUACGGGCAGACUAGAGGUAGGUAGGGGAGAAUGGAAUUCCCGGUGUAGCGGUGAAAUGCGCAGAUAUCGGGAGGAACACCGGUGGCGAAGGCGGAUCUCUGGGCCAUUACUGACGCUGAGGAGCGAAAGCGUGGGGAGCGAACAGG